rnacentral:rRNA from 1 species
GGAUUAUGUGGUUUAAUUCGAUGAUACGCGAGGAACCUUACCAAGGCUUAAAUGGGAAAUGACAGGUUUAGAAAUAGACUUUUCUUCGGACAUUUUUCAAGGUGCUGCAUGGUUGUCGUCAGCUCGUGCCGUGAGGUGUUAGGUUAAGUCCUGCAACGAGCGCAACCCCUGUCACUAGUUGCCAUCAUUAAGUUGGGGACUCUAGUGAGACUGCCUACGCAAGUAGAGAGGAAGGUGGGGAUGACGUCAAAUCAUCACGGCCCUUACGCCUUGGGCCACACACGUAAUACAAUGGCCGGUACAGAGGGCAGCUACACUGCGAAGUGAUGCAAAUCUCGAAAGCCGGUCUCAGUUCGGAUUGGAGUCUGCAACUCGACUCUAUGAAGCUGGAAUCGCUAGUAAUCGCGCAUCAGCCAUGGCGCGGUGAAUACGUUCCCGGGCCUUGUACACACCGCCCGUCAAGCCAUGGAAGUCUGGGGUACCUGAAGUCGGUGACCGUAACAGGAGCUGCCUAGGGUAAAACAGGUAACUAGGGCUAAGUCGUAACAA